rnacentral:rRNA from 1 species
AUUGAACGCUGGCGGCAUGCCUUACACAUGCAAGUCGAACGGCAGCGGGGACUUCGGUCCGCCGGCGAGUGGCGAACGGGUGAGUAAAGUAUCGGAACGUACCUUUCAGUGGGGGAUAACGUAGCGAAAGUUACGCUAAUACCGCAUAUUCUGUGAGCAGGAAAGCAGGGGAUCGCAAGACCUUGCGCUGAUUGAGCGGCCGAUAUCAGAUUAGCUAGUUGGUGAGGUAAAGGCUCACCAAGGCGACGAUCUGUAGCGGGUCUGAGAGGAUGAACCGUCACACUGGAAGUGAGAAACGGUCCAGGAUCCUAAGGGAGGCAGCGGUGGGGAAUUUCGGACAGUGGGGCAACCCUAAUCCAGCCAUGCCGCGUGAGUGAAGAAGGACUUCGGGUUGUAAAGCUCUUUCGGCCGGGAAGAAAUCGUAUGGGUUAAUACCCUGUGCGGAUGACGGUACCGGCAUAAGAAGUACCGGCUAACUACGUGCCAGCCGCCGCAGUAACAC